rnacentral:lncRNA from 1 species
AGAGAGAACGAAGAGUUUUGACCGGAGGGGGUAAGGACAUAUUUAUAGCUUAGGUGAAAACUGUCCGUCCGAUUCUUUCGGACCGAACUACCCCUGCCCUUUCGUCUCCGCAGGACACGUGUAGCAACCGUUUAAAGCGGUGGGGAUCGUUCUUAUCUGAUCGUGGGAAGUGGGGUUCAAUUAUUGUGUGGCAAUAAAAAAACAUUUUUGAGGAUUUGAUGAUUUUGUUACAAAAUCAUCACCUGACAAGGACGCAGUGAGGAUUUUGAACAAAGUUUCAAGUAGAACGCAUAUGAAGAAUUGAAUAGACUGGACGAGUAUAGCAU